GUUGAAGAAUGCGUCUGCAGUUGUUUUUGCUGUCUGGUUUCUUGUUGGUAUUGCCAAGGCAUAUCGAGUGAAGUGGUCUGUUAUAACUAGUAUGUUCUCAAAUCCACCUGUAGAUCUUUCAAGUGAGAGAUAGUCCAUACAUACUAACUCAAGAGGUUGUGUCGUCUCGAUGCUAAUGAGAGGUGCUCUGUGACUUGCAGGUUGCUUUCGUC
rnacentral:lncRNA from 1 species